GACGAACGCUGGCGGCGCGCCUAACACAUGCAAGUCGAACGAGCGAGAGAGAGCUUGCUUUCUCGAGCGAGUGGCGAACGGGUGAGUAACGCGUGAGGAACCUGCCUCAAAGAGGGGGACAACAGUUGGAAACGGCUGCUAAUACCGCAUGACGCAUGACUGGGGCAUCCCGGACAUGCCAAAGAUUUUAUCGCUGAAAGAUGGCCUCGCGUCUGAUUAGCUGGUUGGUGAGGUAACGGCCCACCAAGGCGACGAUCAGUAGCCGGACUGAGAGGUUGACCGGCCACAUUGGGACUGAGAUACGGCCCAG
rnacentral:rRNA from 1 species